rnacentral:tRNA from 1 species
CAAGACGUAGCUACAAUACAAAGCAUUCAGCUUACACCUGAAAGAUGCCUACUACAAAGGCCGCCUUGA